UUACUACUUUUUGUUUAUUUUUGACAUUUAAUUACGUUUCCGUCUGUGAUAUAGGCUUUAAUGUAGGUCAGUAUAUCUAAAAUGUUUUUUUUUUUUUUUAUAAUUCAGGGUAGAUCUUAUCCCUAUGGAGGAACCAGACUAAUCUUUGGGGAAGGCGCGACUCAUAGAUAGACCCUCUCUCCGGAUAUUUAAAUGGGCUGAAAGCAAAGGUUCAUAUCCAUGUGAGUGUCCAGAAACAAUAUGUUGAAGUUUCACGCAGCAGGUGGAUCGAACUUGAGACGUGUUGGCGCCUCAAGCUCGUCUCCUUACCACUAGACCACAAGGUCCUGGACAAUAUAUCUAAGCAUGCACAUCUCUUCAUGGUAGAGAUCAGAGCAUUUUUUUUUUUUUUUUGAUAAACCCUAUCGGCAUCGGCUAUCCGGUCGGUCCCGGUAGGAACGCACCAAGGUGCGACAUAGUGGACUGGUCCACCGUGUUAACGGUUAGGCCCUUACGGGCUACCACUCUGCCUAUCCCGAGUUUGGAAUGCCUUCCGACUAAGUGCCAGGGGGUAGUCAAGCCGCCUGCAUUUCUGACUACCAGGUAAACCAAUUGGGCCAAGGCCCAACUGACAGACUUCCCAAACAAAUGUGUUUUUGUUUCCAGGGAGAAUCGAACUCAGGUUUGGGAGUUUCACCCUUUCCCAAAGCUUCCUCUGCCACUAGACCACAG
rnacentral:lncRNA from 1 species